rnacentral:lncRNA from 1 species
UUGACAAAGUGAUCAUUGAGAGCAAUACCAGCCCCAGCGUAGAAGGUGGAAGAGUGGGUGUCACUGUUAAAGUCGCAGGAGACGACUUGGUCCUUGGUGUAGCCCAGGAUGUCCUUGAGGGGGCCCUCUGGUGCCCGCUUCACCACCUUCUUGAUGUCACCGUAUUAG